rnacentral:sRNA from 1 species
CUCAGGCUUAGGCUUAGGCUUAGGGUAAAGCCUUAGGCUGUGGCUUAGACUUA